CACAGCCCCGCCCCUCUCUGCCUGUGGUCACUGUCUGCUUGCGCACUGACAAGCUUCCUGUCUGGUCUCCCAGCCUCAUCGUUACUUCCCCUUCAUUUUCCCCCACAUGGCAGCCAGAGAUACUUUUAAAAUGUCAGUCAGAUGGAUCAUGCCCUUCAUUUAAAAACCGUCCAUGGCUUCUGUUAAAAGGGCUACUGAUGGAGCCUCACUACCUCUCUGACCACACCCAGACUCACCACAGUCCGCCGCCCCAGCCGCCGCCGCUCCUCAGUGCUGCCCGAUUAUUGGGUGAUACUGCAGCGCCGGGCUUCUUAGCUUUUCCACCAGAGAAAAGUUUGCGUGGCCUGGGUACACGGGAACAUAAAAUGGUUACAUAAAUCAAACUUGCACUCUAGUACGUCCUUUUCUUUUUUUAGUGGUUAGUCUGAGUGGUUUUUUCACAUUAAAUCAACAAUUUAUGAAUAUGAUGCAAAAAAAAAAUUGAUUUGGAGAAUUUACCAGAGGAGCGGGCCAGUUUGGUUUUUCAGUGUUUAAUUCUGUAACGGGGGUGGGGUGUGUUCUAAGUGCUUUCUGAGGAGAUUCUCUCCCUAUACCUGUAUUCUACUUAGAAGGCCUGACUCGGACAGAGGAAAAUACUUUUGGGCUCUACUAUUUGUAAAGGCCCUCACUUGAGGAUCACUUUAGUCAGUGAACAACACAAUGAGAUUUUUAACUUAAUUUAAAAAAAAUUACAGUUUUCAUGUUAUGGAUUUCAAACCACAAAUAAAACUUCUGAUUGUUUUCUUCAGAGUGCCCUCCAUGCGGGACCUGCAGCCACUCCAGGUCAGCCUCCACGCUGGCCCUGCCCCCUUAGCAGCCCUGUGUCCCUCAUUGAGGAUGUCCUCUGCUGGCCUUGUCACGAUUUCUCACAUUUUAAAUAGUUUUGAAGGAUUAAAACAUUCUCUCCGCUACC
rnacentral:lncRNA from 1 species